AUACAUGCAAGUCGAACGAGAUUAUCCAGCUUGCUGGAUAUGAAAGUGGCGCACGGGUGCGUAACGCGUAUGCAACCUACCUUAAUCAGGGGGAUAGCCCGGAGAAAUCCGGAUUAACACCGCAUAAAAACACAGGAUAGCAUUAUCCAAUGUUCAAAUAUUAAUAGGAUUGAGAUGGGCAUGCGUGUCAUUAGCUAGUUGGCGGGGUAACGGCCCACCAAGGCGACGAUGACUAGGGGAUCUGAGAGGAUGACCCCCCACACUGGUACUGAGACACGGACCAGACUCCUACGGGAGGCAGCAGUAAGGAAUAUUGGUCAAUGGAGGCAACUCUGAACCAGCCAUGCCGCGUGCAGGAAGACUGCCCUAUGGGUUGUAAACUGCUUUUAUCCGGGAAUAAACCUCAAUACGUGUAUUGAGCUGAAUGUACCGGAAGAAUAAGGAUCGGCUAACUCCGUGCCAGCAGCCGCGGUAAUACGGAGGAUCCAAGCGUUAUCCGGAUUUAUUGGGUUUAAAGGGUGCGUAGGCGGCCUGUUAAGUCAGGGGUGAAAGACGGUAGCUCAACUAUCGCAGUGCCCUUGAUACUGAUGGGCUUGAAUGGACUAGAGGUAGGCGGAAUGAGACAAGUAGCGGUGAAAUGCAUAGAUAUGUCUCAGAACACCGAUUGCGAAGGCAGCUUACUAUGGUUUAAUUGACGCUGAGGCACGAAAGCGUGGGGAUCAAACAGGAUUAGAUACCCUGGUAGUCCACGCCCUAAACGAUGAACACUCGCUGUUGGCGAUACACAGUCAGCGGCUAAGCGAAAGCGUUAAGUGUUCCACCUGGGGAGUACGGUCGCAAGAUUGAAACUCAAAGGAAUUGACGGGGGCCCGCACAAGCGGAGGAGCAUGUGGUUUAAUUCGAUGAUACGCGAGGAACCUUACCCGGGCUUGAAAGUUAGUGAAUGAUUUAGAGAUAGAUCAGUCCGCAAGGACACGAAACUAGGUGCUGCAUGGCUGUCGUCAGCUCGUGCCGUGAGGUGUUGGGUUAAGUCCCGCAACGAGCGCAACCCCUAUGUUUAGUUGCCAGCAUGUAAUGGUGGGGACUCUAAACAGACUGCCUGUGCAAACAGAGAGGAAGGAGGGGACGACGUCAAGUCAUCAUGGCCCUUACGUCCGGGGCUACACACGUGCUACAAUGGAUGGUACAGAGGGCAGCUACAUAGCAAUAUGAUGCGAAUCUCACAAAGCCAUUCACAGUUCGGAUUGGGGUCUGCAACUCGACCCCAUGAAGUUGGAUUCGCUAGUAAUCGCGUAUCAGCAAUGACGCGGUGAAUACGUUCCCGGGCCUUGUACACACCGCCCGUCAAGCCAUGGAAGUUGGGGGUACCUAAAGUAUGUAACCGCAAGGAGCUUCCUAGG
rnacentral:rRNA from 1 species